rnacentral:antisense_RNA from 1 species
UUGUACAGCGGCUCGGCGGCAUCGUUAUCGGUGGCCGUCGUGUAUUGCGCGGUAUCAAAACCCGCCGGGCUGCCUUCGGA